rnacentral:rRNA from 1 species
AGUGAACGCUGGCGGUAGGCCUAACACAUGCAAGUCGAACGGCAGCACAGUAAGAGCUUGCUCUUACGGGUGGCGAGUGGCGGACGGGUGAGGAAUACAUCGGAAUCUACUUUUUCGUGGGUUAUAACGUAGGGAAACUUACGCUAAUACCGCAUACGACCUACUGGUGAAAGCAGGGGAUCUUCGGACCUUGCGCGAUUGAAUGAGCCGAUGUCGGAUUAGCUAGUUGGCGGGGUAAAGGCCCACCAAGGCGACGAUCCGUAGCUGGUCUGAGAGGAUGAUCAGCCACACUGGAACUGAGACACGGUCCAGACUCCUACGGGAGGCAGCAGUGGGGAAUAUUGGACAAUGGGCGCAAGCCUGAUCCAGCCAUACCGCGUGGGUGAAGAAGGCCUUCGGGUUGUAAAGCCCUUUUGUUGGGAAAGAAAAGCAGCAGGUUAAUACCCCGCUGUUCUGACGGUACCCAAAGAAUAAGCACCGGCUAACUUCGUG